rnacentral:rRNA from 1 species
GAUGAACGCUGGCGGCGUGCCUAAUACAUGCAAGUCGAGCGAACAGACGAGGAGCUUGCUCCUCUGACGUUAGCGGCUGACGGGUGAGUAACACGUGGAUAACCUACCUAUAAGACUGGGAUAACUUCGGGAAACCGGAGCUAAUACCGGAUAAUAUAUUGAACCGCAUGGUUCAAUAGUGAAAGACGGUUUUGCUGUCACUUAUAGAUGGAUCCGCGCCGCAUUAGCUAGUUGGUAAGGUAACGGCUUACCAAGGCAACGAUGCGUAGCCGACCUGAGAGGGUGAUCGGCAACACUGGAACUGAGACACGGUCCAGACUCCUACGGGAGGCAGCAGUAGGGAAUCUUCCGCAAUGGGCGAAAGCCUGACGGAGCAACGCCGCGUGAGUGAUGAAGGUCUUCGGAUCGUAAAACUCUGUUAUUAGGGAAGAACAAAUGUGUAAGUAACUAUGCACGUCUUGACGGUACCUAAUCAGAAAGCCACGGCUAACUACGUGCCAGCAGCCGCCGCCG